rnacentral:rRNA from 1 species
UGGGGAAUAUUGCACAAUGGGCGCAAGCCUGAUGCAGCCAUGCCGCGUGUGUGAAGAAGGCCUUCGGGUUGUAAAGCACUUUCAGCGGGGAGGAAGGCGAUAAGGUUAAUAACCUUGUCGAUUGACGUUACCCGCAGAAGAAGCACCGGCUAACUCCGUGCCAGCAGCCGCGGUAAUACGGAGGGUGCAAGCGUUAAUCGGAAUUACUGGGCGUAAAGCGCACGCAGGCGGUCUGUCAAGUCGGAUGUGAAAUCCCCGGGCUUAACCUGGGAAGUGCAUUCGAAAAUGGCAGGCUAGAGUCUUGUAGAGGGGGGUAGAAUUCCAGGUGUAGCGGUGAAAUGCGUAGAGAUCUGGAGGAAUACCGGUGGCGAAGGCGGCCCCCUGGACAAAGACUGACGCUCAGGUGCGAAAGCGUGGGGAGCAAACAGG